rnacentral:rRNA from 1 species
GCCACGGCUAACUACGUGCCAGCAGCCGCGGUAAUACGUAGGUGGCAAGCGUUGUCCGGAAUUAUUGGGCGUAAAGCGCGCGCAGGCGGUUUCUUAAGUCUGAUGUGAAAGCCCCGGCUCAACCGGGAGGGUCAUUGGAACUGGGAACUUGAGUGCAGAAGAGGAGAGUGGAAUUCCACGUGUAGCGGUGAAAUGCGUAGAGAUGUGGAGGAACACCAGUGGCGAAGGCGACUCUCU